GACGAACGCUGGCGGCGUGCCUAAUACAUGCAAGUAGGACGCAGUUGCGAACGGGUGAGUAACGCGUAGGUAUCUAUCUAUUAGAGGGGGAUAACAAUUGGAAACGCUAGCUAAUACCGCAUACUAGUAGAUGGACCUGCGUUGUAUUAAUUAGUAGGUAGGGUAAUGGCCUACCUAGGCAACGAUAAAUAGCCGACCUGAGAGGGUGGACGGCCCAACCGGGACUGAGACAAGGCCCAAACGCCUACGGGGAGCAGCAGUAGGGAAUCUUCGGGAAUGGGGGGAACCCUGACCGAGCAACGGCGCGGGAGUGAAGAAGGUUUUCGGAUCGUAAAGCUCUGUUGUUAAGGAAGCGGUACUUAACCAGAAAGGGACGGCUAACUACGUGCCAGCAGCCGCGGUAAUAC
rnacentral:rRNA from 1 species